rnacentral:tRNA from 1 species
UCUAAUGUGGCAGAUAAGUGCGGUGGAUUUAAGCUCCACAAAUAAAGUAUCUAAACUUUCUUUAGAA